CAGUAGCCGCGGUAAUACGGAGGAGGCUAGCGUUGUUCGGAAUUACUGGGCGUAAAGCGUACGUAGGCGGUUUUGUAAGUUAGAGGUGAAAGCCCGGAGCUCAACUCCGGAAUUGCCUUUAAGACUGCAUCACUUGAACGUCGGAGAGGUGAGUGGAAUUCCGAGUGUAGAGGUGAAAUUCGUAGAUAUUCGGAAGAACACCAGUGGCGAAGGCGGCUCACUGGACGACUGUUGACGCUGAGGUACGAAAGCGUGGGGAGCAAACAGGAUUAGAUACCCGCGUAGUCCCUGUCUCUUAUAC
rnacentral:rRNA from 1 species